UCCUACACAGAUCGAGCACCUUCCUUGCUGCAUAGGGCUAAGAACACAAAGAUGAUUCAGAAAUAGUUCCUGUCUGUGAGUCAAGUUCCCUGUGUGAAGAGAGGAAGAUGGGCCAAGCUGUUCCAAUAGAGUAUAGCCACAGUGGGCCAUAGGACAUUCUGAGAUGGCAGAGGAGAGUCUUUCAUCUCCCAAGGGCCUCUGAAAAGCUUCCCGGGCAUAUACUAAAUGUAACUCAAGGAAUGCUCCCACUUGGUGAAGGGAGGGUUGAGUCCAGACAGAGUCUGCUCCGUGGUUGAAUCCUGUGAUGGAGGAUGGGCAAAACUGUCAGAGACAACUAGUUAUGACCAAGUCACGUGGACAGACAAGUCAUUAUGUUCUUCUGGUUCUGAAAGUGCUUCUCCUGAAGGAUGAUGUGUUCUAAUUCUCCGAGACCAAUCUAGAGUCCUAAAAGUCUUAUUCCUGACUCUGCUUGAGAGACCAUAUGAGGUAUCAGAGAUUGAACAUGGCUUAGCUGAAUGCAAG